GCCUCUAUAACUCAGUGGUAGAGUCAGUCUUAUAAACUGAAGGUCCGUAGUUCGAUCCUGCGUGGAGGCA